UACGUUCCCGGGCCUUGUACACACCGCCCGUCAAGUCAUGGAAGACUGGAAGUGCCUCGAACGUGACGGUAACCGCAACGGAGCGUCCUAGGGUAAAGUCGGUAACUGGGGCU
rnacentral:rRNA from 1 species